rnacentral:rRNA from 1 species
CCCUUGUACACACCGCCCGUCACACCAUGGAAGCAAGCAACACCCGAAGCCGGUGGCCUAACCCGCAAGGGAGGGAGCCGUCGAAGGUGGGGCUCGUGACUGGGGUG